rnacentral:rRNA from 1 species
GACGAACGCUGGCGGCGUGCUUAACACAUGCAAGUCGAACGGAAAGGCCCUGCUUUUGUGGGGUGCUCGAGUGGCGAACGGGUGAGUAACACGUGAGUAACCUGCCCUUGACUUUGGGAUAACUUCAGGAAACUGGGGCUAAUACCGGAUAGGAGCUCCUGCUGCAUGGGGGGGGUUGGAAAGUUUCGGCGGAUGGGGAUGGACUUGCGGCUUAUCAGCUUGUUGGUGGGGUAGUGGCUUACCCAGGCAUUGGCGGGUGGCCGGCCUGAGAGGGCGACCGGCCACAUUGGGACUGAGAUACGGCCCAGACGCCUACGGGAGGCAGCAGUGGGGAAUAUUGUACAAUGGGCGGAAGCCUGAUGCAGAAACGCCGCGUGCGGGAUGACGGCCUUCGGGUUGUAAACCGCUUUCGCCUGUGACGAAGCGUGAGUGACGGUAAUGGGUAAAGAAGCACCGGCUAACUACGUG